rnacentral:rRNA from 1 species
CGCGGCCUAUCAGCUUGUUGGUGGGGUAACGGCCUACCAAGGCAACGACGGGUAGCUGGUCUGAGAGGACGAUCAGCCACACUGGGACUGAGACACGGCCCAGACUCCUACGGGAGGCAGCAGUAGGGAAUCUUGCGCAAUGGGGGAAACCCUGACGCAGCGACGCCGCGUGCGGGAUGAAGGCCUUCGGGUCGUAAACCGCUUUCAGCAGGGACGAAGUUGACGGUACCUGCAGAAGAAGGCCCGGCCAACUACGUGCCAGCAGCCGCGGUGAUACGUAGGGGUCUAGCGUUGUCCGGAAUUAAUGGGCGUAAAGAGCUCGUAGGCGGUUCGGCAAGUCGGAUGUGAAAUCUCCACGCUUAACGUGGAGGGGCCAUUCGAAGCUGCCGUGGCUCGAGUCCGGUAGGGGAGUUCGGAAUUCCCGGUGUAGCGGUGAAAUGCGCAGAUAUCGGGAGGAACACCAGUGGCGAAGGCGGAACUCUGGGCCGGAACUGACGCUGAGGAGCGAAAGCGUGGGGAGCGAACAGGAUUAGAUACCCUGGUAGUCCACGCCGUAAACGUUGGGCACUAGGUGUGGGGUUCUAUCGACGGAUUCCGUGCCGUAGCUAACGCAUUAAGUGCCCCGCCUGGGGAGUAC